AUACCCGUUGAUCCUGCGGGAGAUUACUGCUAUUUGGGUUCCGUUUAACCAUGCAAGUCAAGGGGGCUCUUCGGAGUCACCGGCGAAAUGCUCAGUAACACGUCGAUAAUCUGCCCUAAGGUCUGGAAUAACCACGGGAAACUGUGGCUAAUACCGGAUAGAAAAUUGAUACUGGAAUGUACUUUUUUCUAAAGUUCCGACGCCUUAGGAUGAGUCGGCGGCUGAUUAGGUAGUUGGUGAGGUAAUGGCUCACCAAGCCACAGAUCAGUACGGGCCUUGAGAGAGGUAGCCCGGAGAAGGACACUGAGAAAAGGGUCCUAGCCCUAAGGGGUGCAGCAGGUGGGAAACCUUUACAAUACACGAAAGUGUGAUAAGGGAACCCAAAGUGCUCG
rnacentral:rRNA from 1 species